rnacentral:rRNA from 1 species
UCGCAAUCUUCUUUGUCGAUUAGAACUCUCAAAAAAAAUUACGCUGUUAUCCCUAAGGUAACUUCUUCUUUUAAUCUAAAUAAUAGGAUCAAAUAUUCAUAAAUCUAUGAUCUUUAAAAAAAAAGUUCAUUAAAUUUUUCUGUCACCCCAACCAAACAAUUUUGUAAUAAUAAAAUCUAUAUUACCAAUAAUAAAGUAUACCAAAAUUGUAAAGCUCUAUAGGGUCUUCUUGUCUUCUAUAGCCAUUUAAGCUUUCUCACUUAAAAAUAAAAUUCUAAAAAAUUCCUUCUGAGACAGUAGGCUUCUCAUCAAUCCCUUCAUUCCAGCUUCUAAUUAAGAAACUAAUUAUUAUGCUACCUUUGCACGGUCAGUAUACCGCGGCCAUUUAAGAUUACUCUCAUUGGGCAGGAGCGACCUUAAAUUAUUAUCAAAAGGCC